CGGGUCUGGGCCCCUCGUCCCUGCAGCAGGUCUGGGCCACUCUUCCCUGAGUUUGAUGCUUGGUUUGGAGUCAGGGCUCUGAGCCCAGAGUCCCUGUGGAAAACACAUCCCUCCACUGACUAUGGCCUCUGUCCCACAACCUCCCCCCUCCCCAGGCCUGUGUGUGUUUAGACAGCUUGCCCUGCAUUUUUAGAACAAUUUUUAACUUGUAGGCUGUACCUGCGGAACCAGAAUGUCUGGCCAAGACCUGUUACCUAACAGCCUCAGACCAUUUGGGUGCCAACAGCAACUGCAGCUCUGGCCCAAGCCAGGUGUGGGCUGACCUAGCCAGGGAGCGGGGAAGUGAAAGGAAUGGGUCCCUUCCCACUCAGAGGGCGGAGCCCCCACUUCUGGUGAGAGAAAGCUGAGCAGAAUGGAUCUAAUCUGAUUCCUCCACCCAGAAGCCCUUAAAAUGCAGCUUUGUUUUAAGCCUUCUUGAAGAUUUGGGCUAGAUCUAGAAAAGAACCUCACCACGGAGGAUGUGCAAAGUACAACACGUGACCCCGGAGACGGAAGCUCUUCUCUACCUCCGUAAAGAUGAUCUCUGAUGAACAGACAUGAUCAUGCCUGGAGAACAGGGAUGGACAGUCCCGCUUCUGAAAGACCCUGUCUGGCUGAUGAUUCAUGGUGCGCCGGGCAGACCCCAGGCCAAGAGACCCCACCCACAGUACCUGAGUGCUCAGCUGGGAACCAGACCAGACCUCAAAACAGGUUUGCAGAAUUAAGAUGAGGAGCUGAGCUCAACACAGCCUCCGCAGCUCCCCAGGGCGGGCCUGAGCCGAGGGAGAGCCCAUGGCCAUCAGGGUGCUGGAAUGCAUGUCACACUGCAUUACGUGCAUUACGAUCCACGCUGCAAUGACAGCCCAGAGCGUGGAGAACCCAGAGAGGGUGGGGAGAUGGAAUCCCGGCGAGCCAGCGCUGGCAGGGACCACGGGGAGCAGCUGGUCCAGCCGCCGGUUUUCCAAGAGAGAAGACUAAGAAGUUCCCAAGGUUACCACCCAACCCUGCCAACUUUCGCACCCCGCAAGGAGCAAGACCCCGCCCGCUCACCACCUGCCUGUGCAGCCAACGGGCCUCGCUGAGCUGCCCUGGGCCGCUCCCUCCAUUCACACAGUUGGCCCUCCCUCUCCCUGCCUCCCUUCGCCUACCCCACGAACUACUUCAUCCCUCUGGGCCGGCACUGUAGAAGCCCCAUUGUUCACAUCGACCUCCCAAUUAUCUCCUCUUUCCCUCUCCCUCUGCUCCUGCCCAGACCAGCCCCCCAGCAUUGACCUGGAUGCCUGCCACAGCCUCCUCCCUGGUCUCCGGCCUCCCACCUCUGCUCCUCGGUCUCCUCUACCCAGCCAGUAACUGCAGAGAGCACUAAAGCACAGUCCUGGCAUCUCACCCCCUUAACCCUGGCCACGGCUUCCCAGUGCCUCCAAGAUAAAGCACCAACACCUGAGGACAGCAGCUUGUUUUGAGAGUCCCCUCCAUUGAAACACGCACAUCUAAUUUGUCCUUCAGUUCGCUGGACUCCACGCUGAACGUGCCAUGCUCCAUUGCCCCGUGAGUAACUCCAUGCUCUUGCCGGUUUCACACGGCCUCUCAGAGCUGGAGCCUUUGUUCAGGAGCCCUGGGCAGCUUUCAGGAAGCUCUUGGGCUCAUCAGCUUCCUCUGGCUGAAGCCGCCCCAGUGGAAUCAUGGGGAUUUCUUACUUUGAAGGUGGGGCCACCCGCAGACUGUAACCGGCUGGUUCAAGAUCAAGGACUUCCCCAGGCCACCUGCCUCAGAGGCAAGAAAGGCUCAGCUGAGUCCCAGACACUCCUCGCUGUGGCCCCUCCUUCCUCCCUGCUGGGCAGGCCCCCCUCAAUUCUGUUUGCCAGCAGGGCCUAGUAACACUGAAAGACGAAAAGGGAAAUAAAAUAAACACAAUUAAUAGGCUAAAGGUUACUGAAUAAAGUGGCAGCAGUAAAUAAAUUGACUACUGUGCAAAUACAAAGACAUGAAGACAUGAAACCCCUGCUCUAAAUGACCACUCACCAAGAGCAAGGCCUGGGCUGGAGGCAGGGAGCACCUCCCUAAGGAGCACUCCCUCUUUCCCGGAGUGAGUCCUCCUUCUAGAUGGAAUUCAGUCCGGGUUCCUCUUGAGCCACAGUCCCUGUUGGGGCCUAUCUCAGUGGACUCAAGAUCCUGAACUUCUUCCAGAUUGCUGACUACACAUUUGAGUCACCCAGAGAUUAAAAGAAAAAACAAAUAAUUUCCCAGUGAUCAGGAGUAAAUCAGCUGGGGCAGGGUUGGUGCUAUGAAUGACCACACUGAUUUGUACACUUCACUGAUUUGUAGUGUUUGCUAUUUCCGUCGUGUAAAUACUGCCAACAUGGACAAUCUUCAGUUGCUAAUGGUUUACUAACUGGCUUGUAAAUGAAUUCAUUCAGUAUUCAAGAAAAUGGCACUACAUUUAGAAACAUUUUGUAGCAUUUCUUACUUUCUAAGAAUUUCCAAUAGACACCAUGAUCACUAAAAAAUCAUAACCAGGCUGGGGGCAGUGGCUCACGCCUAUAAUUCCAAUAAUUUGGGAGACCAAGGAGGGAAGAUCACUUGAGGCCAGGAGUUUGAGACCAGCCUGGGCAACAUAGCAAAG
rnacentral:lncRNA from 1 species